GGGCCUGUGGCGGAAUUGGUAUACGCGGCGGACUUAAAAUCCGCUCCUUCGCAAGGAGGAUGAGGGUUCGACUCCCUCCGGGCCCA
rnacentral:tRNA from 1 species